rnacentral:rRNA from 1 species
CCCUAUGGGGUGCAGCAGGCGCGAAAACUUGGCAAUGCGAGAAAUCGUGACCAGGGAACUCCAAGUGGCAGGGGUAAGACCCUGUCUUUUUCCGACUCUAAAUAGGUCGGCGAAUAAGGGGUGGGUAAGGACGGUGCCAGCCGCCGCGGUAAUACCGGCGCCUCAAGUGGUAGUCGCUUUUAUUGGGCCUAAAACGUCCGUAGCCGGUCUGGUACAUUCGUGGGUAAAUCAACUCGCUCAACGAGUUGAAUUCUGCGAGGACGGCCAGACUUGGGACCGGGAGAGGUGUGGGGUACUCUCAGGGUAGGGGUAAAAUCCUGUCAUCCUGAGAGGACCACCUGUUGCGAAGGCUCCACACUAGAACGGAUCCGACGGUCAGGGACGAAGCCUAGGGGCACGAACCGGAUUAGAUACCCGGGUAGUCCUAGGUGUAAACGCUGUGGACUUGAUGUUGGGGACGCUCCGAGCGUUCUCAGUGUCGAAGCGAAGGUGAUAAGUCCACUGCCUGGGGAGUACGGUCGCAAGGCUGAAACUUAAAGGAAUUGGCGGGGGAGCACCGCAACCUGAGGAUUGUGCGGUUUAAUUGGAUUCAACGCCGGAAAACUCACCAUGGCCGACGGACAUAUGAAAGCCAGUGUAACGAGCUUGCUGGAUUGUUCGAGAGGUGGUGCAUGGCCC